rnacentral:tRNA from 1 species
GCCUGGGUGGCUCAGUCGGUUGAGCUUCCGACUUCGGCUCAGGUGUGAUUUCCAGGUUCGUGAGGUCGAGCCCCGCCUCGGGCU